GAAAAAAUCAUUACAAAAUAUAUGGCAACAUCAGAAUUGCAUUUUCAAAUAUCAGACAAAGGAAUAUUGAUGUAAAUGAGAAGGGAGAUGAGCCUAGACAUGAUUUUUUGCUAAACAGGGAGAUGGGAAAGCUGCACACUAGAUGUGUUUUGCACUGAAUCUUUAAGACAUGCCUUUAGUGGCAGAAUCUGCAGCGAGGUCUGAGUUGAAGAUAACGUCCUCUGCAUGCACAUGAGUGACAGGGGUAGUGUCACUGUGACUGCAAAAGGAGCAGUUGAAGAGUGGCACUGAAAUGGAGAUUCAGACACCUGCUUUUGCAGCCGGCUGCGCACUGAAGUACAGAGCUGGAGAGAAGCAUUGGAAUGUGGAGAUAAUUGAAAGACCUGAUGUAUUUGACUUGACCUGAUAUACCAAAGUAUUUCUAGAAAUUUUUUAGACGUUGUGCUAGUGAUGGAGUUGCCAUGACAUUUUCAUAGUGGAUGUGCUAUUUCAGCUCCUUAUAAUUCUGCUCUAAAAAUUACCUUUUAAGAUAUUUUUUUGUGUGUGUGUGUGUACGAGAGUAGUAUUCAAAGGUGCUAAACUGACAACACUUACCAUCUAUUUCAUGGGCAUCUACAGUGCCCAGCUCCCAGCAGUGCGCCAUUAACACCUUAUUUCUUGAAUCUGGAAGGCAGCUGCACAUUUUAAUAUACUUGGCUAUCUGCUGGGAUUGACAAAGGCUUUGCAAGAAUAUGAAGAUCAGACAUUUCCUCUGAAGGCUUCUUUCAUUUGGAGCAUGAACCCUCCUUUCUUUUCCCUUUACUUGAAACAAUCUGAAUCAACUAAAGGAGGUUAAAAUCUACUAAGGGGUACUUGCCAUAUAAUAGCCAGAAGCUUCCACAGAAUAAUAUCACAGACUGUGUUUUUUUUUAAGCUAUUUUCUCUGCUAUAAGUUUUAUAUACUCAUAAUUACUGAAUUAGAAGGAC
ensembl:lncRNA